UCGGGCCAGGGUAGCUCAACGUGGGCCAGUCUGAUCCCAGAGUCGUGGGUGAGCUGCAGGGUCCUGGUACACCCUAGCCAAGCCCCUGGCCUGUCUUGGGUUUACAGCGGCACGAAGGGGUGGGAGUGGAAACGUGGCCAGGGGUCAGGCAGUCUUGGGCUUCCAGUUCGUAGAGAAGCUACACAAAUGGAAACACGACAAUGUCCUCCAGACAGAUGCAUCUAACGAAGUUUCUGAGUCGUCCAGUCACUGGCUCCGAAUUAGUGGUUUAUAGUUUGUUAACCUAGAACAUAAACCUCUUGCUGCUCGCACUGUCUGUAAUGGCAUUGAGUCUGGAGUCACCUUUGGGUGUGUCCGGACUAGAAGAUAAAAGUCCAGGCUGUCUGACAUGUACUUUGCUCUGGUGCUAUUUUAGUUUUUAUUUGUGGCUAUGCCGGGGAGCAAACUGUGCAAGGCAAACGGUCCCACCCGAGCUGCAUCCUACGCCGCAUGCCAUCUCUGUGCCUUGGCUAACCUCAUCUCCCCCACGGUUUUGCCUCUUAGGAAUGAAUCACAGGAUCCAGCCACAGGUGGAAUUAAGAAAUCUGGCAAAAAGUAAGCUAGUCCUCGUAUCUGAGGUGAUGAUGGUGACCCUCUUCCAUUCCUAUUUAAACAUCUGGAUCCCCUGCCAUAACAUCUCUGCCACCUACAGCUAGAAUGAAGUGUUAUCCUGGAGCCUGUUGAACAUCUGUAUUCCCUGCCAUAACAUCUUUGCCACCUACAGCUAGAAUGAAGUGUUAUCCUGGAGCCUAUUGUACAUUGUAAUAAACUUUUGUAGUAAAACAAAUACAAUGGCUCAUUGUCUCUAGUGUUCAGCAAUUCCUACCUCAGCUCUGAAUGGAAAGAAAACCCAGGCCAGAGCCUGCUGUUUCAUCUUUGUUGUACUUGGAAUUCUGUAUCACUUUGAAUUAAACCAGCCCAUUUAAAAGGCUCUCA